UACGUAGGGGGCUAGCGUUAUCCGGAAUUACUGGGCGUAAAGGGUGCGUAGGUGGUUUCUUAAGUCAGAGGUGAAAGGCUACGGCUCAACCGUAGUAAGCCUUUGAAACUGGGAAACUUGAGUGCAGGAGAGGAGAGUGGAAUUCCUAGUGUAGCGGUGAAAUGCGUAGAUAUUAGGAGGAACACCAGUUGCGAAGGCGGCUCUCUGGACUGUAACUGACGCUGAGGCACGAAAGCGUGGGGAGCAAACAGGAUUAGAUACCCCCGUAGUCCCUGAGCGGG
rnacentral:rRNA from 1 species